UGCCUUUUGUGUUGCCCGCUAUUCUUUUACAUAGAUCAGUGAGGUGUCAAAAAAGGCAUAAAGUGACUUGAGCUGUUUCGUGCGUCUUGUUGCUGUUGUGCUUAAAGAUAUUU